AUAAAAUCAAUGUUCACCCCAAUUUCGGAGGAAAUCAAUCAGUAUACACGUGAUUUGACACGUGUUUUAACAUUCCAACACCGCCAACGGGCGAGUUUAUCGACAUUUUUGGAACGAAAAGUAGCGGCAUUCGAUCGACUACGUGAUGCUUAUAGUGAAGAAAAAACCAAAAAAGAACACUAUAAAAAGUACGGAAAAAUCAAUCGAUUUUAUGGGAAAAUUCGAGAACGAAAAAUUUUUUUAUUGAUUUUUCUGAAAAUUUAUUGAUUUUUUUGGAAAUUUAUUGAUUUUUCUGAAAAUUUAUUGAUUUUUUGGAAAUUUAUUGAUUUUUCUGAAAAUUUAUUGAUUUUUUUGGAAAUUUAUUGAUUUUUCUGAAAAUUUAUUGAUUUUUUUGGAAAUUUAUUGAUUUUUCUGAAAAAUUAUUGAUUUUUCUGAAAAAUUAUUGAUUUUUCUGAAAAAUUAUUGAUUUUUCUGAAAAAUUAUUGAUUUUUCUGAAAAAUUAUCGAUUUUUUUAUAUUUCAGACAACUCGAAGAGGCGUACCACCUGCUCAAAUCGAAAGAACACGAAAUUUCGAAACUAAAAAAGCAACUGGCCGAGCAGGCUCCGCCCCCUCAGACUCCGCCCCGUUCAAAUUCUCUGAAAGUGGCGAGUUCGCGGAGUCUGGAGACACCGUCAAUGAUGCGUGUAUUCAGUGAUUCAAUGUAUGAGACGCCCGUUCAAAUUCAGAGAAGAUUUACGAAGGCACAGGCGAAGGCAGAGGCCGAGGCCGAGGCGCCUGCCAAAUCGCCAGGGUAAUUUAUCGAUUUUUUGGACAAAAUUAUCGAUUUUCUGGUAAUUUAUCGAUUUUUCUAGAAAAAUAUCGAUUUUUUGGAAAUUAUCGAUUUUUUGGACAAAAUUAUCGAUUUUCUGGUAAUUUAUUGAUUUUUCUAGAAAAAUAUCGAUUUUUUGGAAAUUUAUCGAUUUUUUGAAAAUUAUCGAUUUUUUCAGUUCAAAAGCACAAACUACAAAAUGCACGUCAAAUUAUCAGUCACAUCCGCCGGCAUCCUUCGAGACACCGAUUCAUCAUCCACCGAAAACUUCAAUGGGG
rnacentral:sRNA from 1 species